AACCGUAAUCUGUAUUUCUUAAAAGAUCUCUAAGAGGGAGGUGGGAAACAAAUGGGAGUGGGCAAGGGGGCAAACAGGGAGACAAUUUCAGCAACCAUUUCAAUGCUCUACGAAGGAGAUGGCGAGGAGUGAAUGAUCCUGGUGGCCUGGCAGGUGAAGAAGAAAAAGAAACUGAGCCAUAAACAAGUUAGAGGGACUUGCCCAAGCUUACUCAGGCUAUGCAUGCGACAGCAGGAUUGGGAAGUGAAGGCCUCAGACCCCAGCGUCUGUGUGCUUGACCACGAUGCCAUUCUGCUUCCCUGAGACCCAAGGAAGUUGACUGCUAUGCUGUGAAGAACUCAAGCAGCCCAGUGGGGAGAUCCAAGUGUUAUAAAGAACUGAGGCACCUCACCAAUAGCCAGCACAGGCUUGCUGGUCACAAGAGUGAGCCAUCUGGGAAGCAGAUCCCCCAGCCCAGUCAAGUCUUCAGAUGACUGCAGUCCCCACUGUCAUUCGAGUUCAUGAGAGAUUAUAAGCCAGAACUAACCAGCCAAGCCACUCUUGAGUUCCUGACCCACAGAAACUGUGUGAGAUAAUAAAUAUUAAUUGUUGUUUUAAGUCA